AGAGUUUGAUCCUGGCUCAGGAUGAACGCUAGCGGCAGGCUUAAUACAUGCAAGUCGAGGGGCAGCACAGGUAGCAAUACUGGGUGGCGACCGGCAAACGGGUGCGGAACACGUACGCAACCUUCCCAUAACUGGUGAAUAGCCUUCCGAAAGGGAGAUUAAUACACCGUAACAUAAUGAAGUGGCAUCACUUUAUUAUUAUAGCUUUGGCGGUUUUGGAUGGGCGUGCGCCUGAUUAGGUAGUUGGCGGGGUAACGGCCCACCAAGCCUCCGAUCAGUAACUGGUGUGAGAGCACGACCAGUCACACGGGCACUGAGACACGGGCCCGACUCCUACGGGAGGCAGCAGUAAGGAAUAUUGGUCAAUGGACGCAAGUCUGAACCAGCCAUGCCGCGUGAAGGAUGAAGGCCCUCUGGGUU
rnacentral:rRNA from 1 species